rnacentral:lncRNA from 1 species
UCUUGGUCCUGUGAGGGCUUGAAAACAGGAAGAUUAAAUGGGGAGGCCAAGGUUAUGGUAUGGAGGUGAGAAUGGGAGCCAUGAACUCAGAUGAUUUCCUACUGUUCAGCCGAGCACCGCAUUAAACCAAGAAUGGUGGAUACACCUUCAACUCCAGCCUUGGAGAAGUGGAGGCAGGAGGAUCAGAAGUUGAAGCUCCAUGCCAUCCUUGGCUACGUAGUGAGUCUGAGACCAGCCUGGGCUACAGGGAACCCUGUAUGGGAGAAGGGAGGCAGACCAGAACUUAAAACAUAGUUCAAAGAUCUUACAUAAAAUUUCUCAAAUAAGGUUAAUCAAACUCAUUGUCACUUACUAAAGCCAGUAUUCUUGAUCUGUGAUUUGUAGGGCAGCCCCACAGGAAAAAAUUAUCUGCAAAUGGUGACACAGCACAUUCCAAAGACAAUGGUACAGUAGCCGGAAAGGCAGCUUUAGCCAAAGCUUAAAGGCUCUUGUUUGGUGGCAGUGAAGGGCGCAUCUGAGGGAUGGCUCUGGGCUCAACCGAGAACCAAAUCCCCUUCUUGGACACCUCUAUUUGGAAAUUAGCUGUGGUGACUUUGUGGCAUCAUAAUAUUUGUAAACACUGCCACCUGCUGGAAGUUCUGUAGACCUGCACACAAUUUAAACUAGCGCUCCCUACACAACUCUUUUUCUUUCCCCCUUUCUUCCUGCUCUUAUUGUGCAGUACAGGAAAUCUAACCAAGGGCAUGCUGGGUAUUCGCUCUACCCCCGGGACUACAACCCUGCUCUUC